CCUCCUUGAGGCGCGCCACGGCGUCGCCCACCUCCGGGUGCCCCAGCUCCGCCGUCAGGUCGCGCACGAUCUGCGGGAAGAAGCCCACGAAGGCGGCCCGGUCGUCCGCCGCCGCCCCGGCCCCGCUCAUCGCUGCGCCUUUUGGAGCCGCCCCGCGGGAGCGCUGGGCGCGGGGCAUGCUGGGGCGUAGUUCGCAGCCGCGAGGCCAGCGCGCGAGCGGCGCCGCUGCCAGACUACGAGCCCCGGCGUGCCCCGCGCGGGAGGGGGCGGACCCGGCUGCCGCGGGCGCCCGCCCUCAUUGGCCCGCUCCAUCGUAUGAGGAUGGGCCCAAGGGGGCUGGGCCAGUAAGAGAGCGAGGCGGAGGAGACUCGGCCUUCUGAUAGGUGGAGAGCGCGAAACGGGGUGAGCGCCCGGCGGGAGCGUGCGUGGGCUGGGCGGCGCCCGGGCGGCGAGGUGCGCGUGCGGGCUCUAGGGGCGCGGCGCGGGGGGCAGCUGCGGGGCGGGCAUGGGCUGCGGAAGGCAGGCGCAGGGCGCGUGUGUGAGGUGCGGGUGCAGUGGAGCAGUGGUGCGCAGGGUCCCUCUCCACCAGGCCGGGGGCUGGGGAUCGGUCCCCAGAGGCUGCAGGUGCCAUCGGCGUUCCCUGGCGAAGCAGGGAGCAGAGCGGAGCUGCAGACGUGUCCCGGCCCGUCCGCAGCCUGCAGAGCCGGGGAGAGUCUGGCCCGGCCCGGCCCGGCCCAGCCCUGCGCUGGGGAGGGCGAAGCGCAGGGGCCUCCUGUGCCUAGAGGGUGCCCAGGGCCACGGGGCAGCUCGUGGGCAGGCUGCGAGCCCGGUCUCGGUGGUCGUUACGGCAGCGAUAAACAUUGUGUGCUCGAACUGCUCCGGUCCCGAGCUUUGCGCCCUCUGCCUUCGCUUGCCCCGCGCUGGACGCGGCUGGGCCCAGGAGCUGAGCGCUGCUGCACUCCCAAACCUGCCCCUCUCCUCCGCGCCACUGAUUGGCAAUCUCCAGCUGAUCCACCGUAAUCCCUCAAUCGCUGCUAACUCCGGUUUAAUCAAUCUCUGCCUCCUAAUCCCUCGCCAGCCAGUGCUGCGAGAUGGGGCUGUCCAGCGGGACGCUCCGGGCCACGUGGCUUUCCUGUGCUGGGGACGGGUGAACCCCCGAUUUGACGGCCGGCUCUGGCACGGCCUUCCCACUGCUCCGGCGUGGCCUUCCUGCAGCUGCUCCGGCACACUGUUCCCACUGCUCCGGCACAGCCUUCCUGCUGCUGCUCCAGCUGCUCCGGGCACAGCGUUCCUGCUGCUCGGCCCGAACAACUCAGCCUGUGGAGUGGGGGCAAAUCGCAUCUCUGGCCGGGCACGGGGCAUACAGGCUGGAAUUACAUUCCCAAAGAAAUGCUCUUCUCCCCUCCGCAGCCUCCGAGCACCCAGCAGCUGCAGGAUGCUGGGGCUGGGGGGUGCCCACUCUGAUCAGGCUGGCUGUGGUGUAAUCUGAAAUAAUCAAGUUAGAGAGAAACUGCUAAUGAGCUCUGAUCGCAUCAUUUGUCAUGGAGCCUAAUUCCUGCCAGCAGUGGGGUGGCCCUGAUCAUCCCACAGACAUGGGCUCCUGCAGUGGGGAGAGCCGGCUGAGUGCGGUGCCGAGCCCCGGAGCAGAGCCCCGGAGGCCGGUGCGCAGAGUCCAGGCCCCACAGCAGGGUCAGAGCUCUGCAACCCCCCCAGCUGCGGCAGCUCGAGUGCCCCAGCAUGGCAUGACCUUCAUUUAAUCUAUUUAAUGCCUAAAGUCUGUUCUGCAAUCAGGCUGUAUCAAAGCUUCCCUCCCUCCCCCCAGGUUAAUAAACCGAAGGGAAAUGGAAGGGGAAAAUGACCGAAGAUUAAACAUUAAUCUCCCUGGGUCCAAAGGCAUGGGGGGAGGAUGGGAGGGGACCUGUUGCUGCUGUGCGCCGGUGGCAAGGCUGGGGAGGGAGAUGCAGCCCCGGGCGCCCCUGGCACCCCCAGGGCCGCGGGAAGGCAGAAAUUGGCUGGUGCUUUUAACAGGAUGGGGCGGUCGGGCGGCAAGGCUGCGGCCCUGCUCUGUCCUGGUGGCGGGGUGCAGAAGCAGGUGCCCCCAGACCAGCUCCGAAUCGCUCUUUAUUAUUUAAAUCCAUUAUAUACAACGACCAAAAAAUAAAAAAACGCUUUUAAAUUCUC